AAUGGGCGCAAGCCUGAUCCAGCCAUGCCGCGUGAGUGACGAAGGCCUUAGGGUUGUAAAGCUCUUUCACCGGUGACGAUAAUGACGGUAGCCGGAGAAGAAGCCCCGGCUAACUCCGUGCCAGCAGCCGCGGUAAUACGGAGGGGGCUAGCGUUGUUCGGAAUCACUGGGCGUAAAGCGCGCGUAGGCGGAUGAUCAAGUUGGGGGUGAAAGCCCGGGGCUCAACCCCGGAACGGCCCCCAAAACUGGUGAUCUAGAGUCCGGGAGAGGCAAGUGGAAUUCCCAGUGUAGAGGUGGAAUUCGUAGAUAUUGGGAAGAACACCAGUGGCGAAGGCGGCUUGCUGGACCGGAACUGACGCUGAGGUGCGAAAGCGUGGGGAGCAAACAGGAUU
rnacentral:rRNA from 1 species